rnacentral:rRNA from 1 species
GAUGAACGCUGGCGGCGUGCUUAACACAUGCAAGUCGAACGGAAAGGCCAGUGCUUGCACUGGUACUCGAGUGGCGAACGGGUGAGUAACACGUGGGUGAUCUGCCCUGUACUUCGGGAUAAGCUUGGGAAACUGGGUCUAAUACCGGAUAGGACAACUUUUUGGAUAUUGUUGUGGAAAGCUUUUGCGGUAUGGGAUGAGCUCGCGGCCUAUCAGCUUGUUGGUGGGGUAAUGGCCUACCAAGGCGUCGACGGGUAGCCGGCCUGAGAGGGUGUACGGCCACAUUGGGACUGAGAUACGGCCCAGACUCCUACGGGAGGCAGCAGUGGGGAAUAUUGCACAAUGGGCGCAAGCCUGAUGCAGCGACGCCGCGUGGGGGAUGAAGGCCUUCGGGUUGUAAACUACUUUCGCUAGGGACGAAGCGUAAGUGACGGUACCUGGAGAAGAAGCACCGGCUAACUACGUG